AUUGAACGCUGGCGGCAGGCCUAACACAUGCAAGUCGAGCGGAUGAANGGAGCUUGCUCCUGGAUUCAGCGGCGGACGGGUGAGUAAUGCCUAGGAAUCUGCCUGGUAGUGGGGGACAACGUUUCGAAAGGAACGCUAAUACCGCAUACGUCCUACGGGAGAAAGCAGGGGACCUUCGGGCCUUGCGCUAUCAGAUGAGCCUAGGUCGGAUUAGCUAGUUGGUGAGGUAAUGGCUCACCAAGGCGACGAUCCGUAACUGGUCUGAGAGGAUGAUCAGUCACACUGGAACUGAGACACGGUCCAGACUCCUACGGGAGGCAGCAGUGGGGAAUAUUGGACAAUGGGCGAAAGCCUGAUCCAGCCAUGCCGCGUGUGUGAAGAAGGUCUUCGGAUUGUAAAGCACUUUAAGUUGGGAGGAAGG
rnacentral:rRNA from 1 species